CGAGGACGAACGCUGGCGGCGUGCUUAACACAUGCAAGUCGAACGAGGAUAUGCGAGAGGAGAGCUUCGGCAGGAAUCAGGCAUAUUCGAGUGGCGGACGGGUGAGUAACGCGUGAGCAACCUGUCCCAGACAGGGGGAUAACACUUGGAAACAGGUGCUAAUACCGCAUAAGACCACGGUAUCACAUGGUAGUGGGGUAAAAGGAGCAAUCCGGUUUGGGGUGGGCUCGCGUCCGAUUAGAUAGUUGGUGAGGUAACGGCCCACCAAGUCGACGAUCGGUAGCCGACCUGAGAGGGUGAUCGGCCACAUUGGAACUGAGAGACGGUCCAAACUCCUACGGGAGGCAGCAGUGGGGAAUAUUGCACAAUGGGCGAAAGCCUGAUGCAGCGACGCCGCCGUGAGUGAAGAAGUAUUUCGGUAUGUAAAGCUCUAUCAGCAGGGAAGAAAGGCCCUUCGGGGAGAUGACGGUACCUGACUAAGAAGCCCCGGCUAACUACGUGCCAGCCGCUGC
rnacentral:rRNA from 1 species